rnacentral:rRNA from 1 species
UACGUAGGGUGCGAGCGUUGUCCGGAAUUAUUGGGCGUAAAGAGCUCGUAGGCGGUCUGUCGCGUCGGUCGUGAAAACUUGGGGCUUAACCCUGAGCUUGCGGUCGAUACGGGCAUGACUGGAGUUCGGUAGGGGAGACUGGAAUUCCUGGUGUAGCGGUGAAAUGCGCAGAUAUCAGGAGGAACACCGGUGGCGAAGGCGGGUCUCUGGGACGAUACUGACGCUGAGGAGCGAAAGCGUGGGGAGCGAACAGG